GACGAACGCUGGCGGCGUGCUUAACACAUGCAAGUCGAACGGAAAGGCCCUGCUUUUGUGGGGUGCUCGAGUGGCGAACGGGUGAGUAACACGUGAGUAACCUGCCCUUGACUUUGGGAUAACUUCAGGAAACUGGGGCUAAUACCGGAUAGGAGCUCCUGCUGCGUGGUGGGGGUUGGAAAGUUUCGGCGGUUGGGGAUGGACUCGCGGCUUAUCAGCUUGUUGGUGGGGUAGUGGCUUACCAAGGCUUUGACGGGUAGCCGGCCUGAGAGGGUGACCGGCCACAUGGGGACUGAGAUACGGCCCAGAGUCCAACGGGAGGCAGCAGUGGGGAAUAUUGCACAAUGGGCGGAAGCCGGAUGCAGCAACGCCGCGUGCGGGAUGACGGCCUUCGGGUGGUAAACCGCUUUCGCCUGUGACGAAGCGUGAGUGACGGUAAUGGGUAAAGAAGCACCGGCUAACUACGU
rnacentral:rRNA from 1 species